UAAUAGAUGUGAAGGAAUAUAUGAGUAAUAACAAUUUCUAUAGGUAAUCUUUCCUUCGGAAAGAAGAAGCCUUAUUUUGGAUCCCCUGGGAAAUGAUUCAAAGAAACUCCGACAGUGUUUGCAGUCCACAAGGGCCUUCAUCAGAAAACAAGGCUGCCAUAUAUCCAGGUGGGCAUCCAGCACAGAUGCACACAGUUGUCAGGAAGAUGCCACCUCAUGUGGGAUAUUUGUCCUGAAAAUAACCUAUCUGAGCUGUGCCACAACUGUGGGGAGAAGAGCAAUGGGCAAACAAAGA